ACAGUGCUAAAGACACAGACUGAUUCUCAGGCCUGCAGGUUCUCCAAAGGCAAAGCUAUCAGGACAGGAGUAAGAUGCCUGCAGAGUGUGGUUUAGAUUGUAUUGUAACUGACACACAGAUGGAAGCAAGCAAAAGGAGAGGAAACACUAAUUGCACAGAAUUCCCCUGUGAGGUGGAGUGAAUAUCUGCUCCUCCACGGUCUGAUCCAGAUGGCUCGCUGACUCUUAGUGUUCUUCUGCUGACUGUCUAAAUGAAUCUGAGGCCAGAUACCUUGUCAGCGCCAAGCAGCUGAGCUAAAGGGAUUCCAUGUUCCCUCUACCAUGAAUCCUGAGCUGAAGCGCCAGACCAGAUUGUUCUGACAUUAAACGGCUAUACACCC